GAUGAAGAACGCAGCGAAAUGCGAUAAGUAAUGUGAAUUGCAGAAUUCCGUGAAUCAUCGAAUCUUUGAACGCACAUUGCGCCCCCUGGCAUUCCGGGGGGCAUGCCUGUCCGAGCGUCAUUUCUGCCCUCAAGCACGGCUUGUGUGUUGGGUGUGGUCCCCCCGGGGACCUGCCCGAAAGGCAGCGGCGACGUCCGUCUGGUCCUCGAGCGUAUGGGGCUCCGUCACUCGCUCGGGAAGGACCUGCGGAGGUUGGUCACCACCAUAUUUUACCACGGUUGACCUCGGAUCAGGUAGGAGUUACCCGCUGAACUUAAGCAUAUCAAUAAGCGGAGGA
rnacentral:misc_RNA from 1 species